UACGUAGGGUGCGAGCGUUGUCCGGAAUUACUGGGCGUAAAGAGCUCGUAGGUGGUUUGUCGCGUCGUCUGUGAAAUUCCGGGGCUUAACUCCGGGCGUGCAGGCGAUACGGGCAUAACUUGAGUACUGUAGGGGAGACUGGAAUUCCUGGUGUAGCGGUGAAAUGCGCAGAGAUAUGGAGGAACACCAGUGGCGAAGGCGGCUCUCUGGUCUGCAACUGACGCUGAGGCACGAAAGCGUGGGUAGCAAACAGG
rnacentral:rRNA from 1 species